UACAGAGGGAGCAAGCGUUGUUCGGAAUUACUGGGCGUAAAGGGCGCGUAGGCGGUUCGAUAAGUCCCGUGUGAAAUCCCUCGGCUCAACUGAGGAAUUGCACGGGAAACUGACGGGCUUGAGUUCGGGAGAGGGAAGCGGAAUUCCGGGUGUAGCGGUGAAAUGCGUAGAUAUCAGGAGGAACACCGGUGGCGAAGGCGGGUCUCUGGGCAACAACUGACGCUGAGGAGCGAAAGCGUGGGGAGCGAACAGG
rnacentral:rRNA from 1 species